GACGAACGCUGGCGGCGUGCUUAACACAUGCAAGUCGAACGGAAAGGCCCUGCUUUUGUGGGGUGCUCGAGUGGCGAACGGGUGAGUAACACGUGAGUAACCUGCCCUUGACUUUGGGAUAACUUCAGGAAACUGGGGCUAAUACCGGAUAGGAGCUCCUGCUGCAUGGUGGGGGUUGGAAAGUUUCGGCGGUUGGGGAUGGACUCGCGGCUUAUCAGCUUGUUGGUGGGGUAGUGGCUUACCAAGGCUUUGACGGGUAGCCGGCCUGGGAGGGUGACCGGCGACAUUGGGACUGAGAUACGGCCCAGACUCCUACGGGAGGCAGCAGUGGGGAAUAUUGCACAAUGGGCGGAAGCCUGAUGCAGCAACGCCGCGUGCGGGAUAACGGCCUUCGGGUUGUAAACCGCUUUCGCCUGUGACGAAGCGUGAGUGACGGUAAUGGGUAAAGAAGCACCGGCUAACUACGUG
rnacentral:rRNA from 1 species